rnacentral:rRNA from 1 species
GAUGAACGCUGGCGGCGUGCCUAAUACAUGCAAGUCGAGCGAAAGGACGCGAAGCUUGCUUCUCUGAUGUUAGCGGCGGAUGGGUGAGUCAUACGUGGAUAACCUACUUAUAAGACUUGGAUAACUUCGGGAAACCGGAGCUAAUAACGGAAGAUUUUUUGAACCGCAUGGUUCAAAAGUGAAAGACGGGUUUGCUGUCACUUAUAGAUGGAUCCGCGCUGCAUUAGCUAGUUGGUAAGGUAACGGCUUACCAAGGAAACGAUGCAUAGCCGACCUUGGAGGGUGGUCGGCCAGACUGGGAGGGAGACACGGUUCAGACUCCUACGGGAGGCAGCAGUAGGGAAGCGGCCGCAGAGGGCGAAAGCCUGACGGGGCAACGCCGCGUGAGUAAUGAAGGUCCUCGGAUCGUAAAACUCUGUGAGUUGGGAAGAACAUUUGUGUAAGUAGCUGUGCACAUCUUGACGGUAGCUAAACAGAAAGCCACGGCUAACUACGUG